rnacentral:lncRNA from 1 species
UGUGUGUGUGUUUCAUUGAGUUCUCAACACAACCAGAUAAGAUGCCUGAGAAUUCCAACAGGUGGUCUAAUUAGGUGAAUAGAAUGAGGAUAACUGGACAUAUGAGUUUCCUCCAUUCAUAAGAAUGGAGACUCUUCCAGAAGCUUCACUACUAUCACUGAGAGUCAAGAAAUUCUAAUUCCAAGAACUUGUGAUUAAUAUUCAUGAGAGAAAUUUGAAGUGGGAUAAGAGCAAGAACACAGAGCUUGACGUUGGACAAUCAUGAAUUCAAUCCUAGCUCAGCAACUACAUGUCCUUUCAUGCUAGACAACUUAUUUACACUCUAAGAAUUCAUUCACCUCCUAAUAUGGUUUUGAUCUGUGUCCCCACCAAAUCUCCUGUCAAAUUGUAAUCCCUAAUGUUGGAGGUGAGGCCUAGUGAGAGGUAAUUGGAUCAUGGAACAGAGUUCUCAUGAAUGGGUUAGCAUGAUCCCCUUGGUGCUGUUCUCCUGAUAGUGAGCGAGUCAGUUGUGAGAUCUGGUUGUUUAAAAGUGUAUAGCAUCUCCACCCUCUCUCCCUCCCUCCUGCUCCCGCCAUGUAAGAUGUGCCUGCUUCUCCUUCACCUUCAGCCAUAAUUGUAAGUUUCCUGAGGCCUCCCCAGAAGCAGAUGCUGCCAUGCGUCCUGUACAGCCUGUGGAACCAUGAGCCAAAUAAUCCUCUUUUCUUUAUAAAUUACCCGGUCUCAGGUAUUUCUUUAUAACAAUGUGAGAAUGGACUAAUACACCUCCUUUGUGAGAUGAGGAUGUGCUGGGGUUAUUCACUUACCUGCUCAUUCUACUUCCCAUAUUCCUCCACUCUAAUCUGUGCCUCUGGAGAUUGACAUUUAUGAAAUCAAUCAAUCAAUAAACUUUGCCUUCUGACUUUCAGUUGAGUUCAGUGAAUAGGAGGCACCAGCAGGAGAGUAAUUGUUUUUCUCUGUGCCAGACUGAAGACUGAUGCUGCUGCUGUUUUCUCUAGGAUGUACCCUUUGCAGGUCUAGGUCUUGUGGGAUGCUGGUAAUUUUCAGGCCUAUUGGUAUAAAUGCUCUGGAUUCCUUUGCUAUCUCAUGUGGGUUUUCUUAAAUCUAGCCCUACUUAUGUAAUUGAUCCUUCGAUUAAACAAUUAUUAAUUUUCUUCUUUGAGCAUGUCAUUAU